rnacentral:rRNA from 1 species
GAUGAACGCUGGCGGCGUGCCUAAUACAUGCAAGUCGAGCGAACGGACGAGAAGCUUGCUUCUCUGAUGUUAGCGGCGGACGGGUGAGUAACACGUGGAUAACCUACCUAUAAGACUGGGAUAACUUCGGGAAACCGGAGCUAAUACCGGAUAAUAUUUUGAACCGCAUGGUUCAAAAGUGAAAGACGGUCUUGCUGUCACUUAUAGAUGGAUCCGCGCUGCAUUAGCUAGUUGGUAAGGUAACGGCUUACCAAGGCAACGAUGCAUAGCCGACCUGAGAGGGUGAUCGGCCACACUGGAACUGAGACACGGUCCAGACACCUACGGGAGGCAGCAGUAGGGAAUCUUCCGCAAUGGGCGAAAGCCUGACGGAGCAACGCCGCGUGAGUGAUGAAGGUCUUAGGAUCGUAAAACUCUGUUAUUAGGGAAGAACAUAUGUGUAAGUAACUGUGCACAUCUUGACGGUACCUAAUCAGAAAGCCACGGCUAACUACGUG